AUCGGAAUUACUGGGCGUAAAGCGUGCGUAGGCGGUUAAUUAAGUCAGAUGUGAAAGCCCCGGGCUUAACCUGGGAACUGCAUUUGAUACUGGUUAACUAGAGUUUAGUAGAGGGGAGUGGAAUUUCAGGUGUAGCGGUGAAAUGCGUAGAUAUCUGAAGGAACACCAGUGGCGAAGGCGACUCCCUGGACUAAAACUGACGCUGAGGUACGAAAGCGUGGGUAGCAAACAGGAUUAGAUACCCUGGUAGUCCACGCCGUAAACGAUGUCAACUAGCCGUUGGUCCUAUUUACAGGAUUAGUGGCGCAGCUAACGCAUUAAGUUGACCGCCUGGGGAGUACGGCCGCAAGGUUAAAACUCAAAUGAAUUGACGGGGGCCCGCACAAGCGGUGGAGCAUGUGGUUUAAUUCGAUGCAACGCGAAGAACCUUACCUACCCUUGACAUCCAUAGAAUC
rnacentral:rRNA from 1 species